GAACGGGCGCCAGUGCAAUCGAAUAAACUAUCACCCCAAACUAAUAUAAUAUUUUUGAGAAAAUUCGAAAGAUACACCGUCAUGAUGUGUUCUUUUGAACGCGAACAUACUACGAACAUGCUACGAAACGACAAAUGAAAAUAAUUAAGAGAUAUUUAAUAAGUAUACAAAAUACACGCCAGCGGGUCAGGACGACGGUUUGCGCGCGCGUGUGCUGUAACAAUCAAACAUUACGCUCGGGGCGAAACUUCAAAAUGCGCCAUUAUGUAUUUUUAAUUACAAAAGAAUUGCGUCUAGGGCGUAGGCUCCUCUCGCCACAUUCUUGCGACGGCCCUUCGUUUACCUGACGAUUGUGUUUGGUCGUCGUUCCGUCAUGCGGAUUUGUGCGUACGCGGUACGCUACUACAGGGUGAGCGCAAGUACACGCGCCCGAGGACCGUUGGUUCAGGCUCAAGAGGAGCGCCCCAGCAAACCGGCCUUACCCGACCAUUGCAUUGCGAUUGAAAUGAAUGGUGAGCGAGAAAAUCAACAUUUGUAAGUGUAACGAAUAAUGCGUAGCAAGAGGAACAUUUCGAUUGACGAAAUUUUUACGUUAUAUUUAUGAUAUAGUUGAUGAUACUUUAACGAACAAUAAACCUACUGUUCUGUUUAUCCGUCUAGGGACACCGUAUGUUGUACGCUGCUUGAGCACAUGCCUAAAUCUACAUCCCUCCAAAAUGCCUCGAUGGUGGUGCAGUAUAAAUGGUGAUUAUAUAUAGUUUUUGUUUUUAUUUUUUUCAGCUGCUGCAAAGGCAAUGGUCGCGUGUGUGCCGGACAAACAUUCUAUUGUUGUAGUUUAUAACACUGUACUCCGUUUCCAUCCGUCUUGAAACGACACUGUUUAUCUCGUUCGUAUAAAGUAUGAUUUCAAUAGAAGUUUUACAAUCGAAUGUCCUCUUAAAAAAAAAAAAAAAAAAAAACGUAAAUGACCGGAAUAUAUAAUAUACAUAGUGAGACAACAUUUAUUCUCCGUCACUAUUCGCCUACUUACGGUUGUCUAGACUUUAAUUGUUUACCUAUACACGAUUAUAAUACUACAUCACGCGUUCGAUAUUCCGUACAAAUGAAAAUUUGCA